GAUGGAUGAGCCCGCGUUGGAUUAGCUAGUUGGUGGGGUAAAGGCCUACCAAGGCGACGAUCCAUAGCUGGUCUGAGAGGAUGAUCAGCCACAUUGGGACUGAGACACGGCCCAAACUCCUACGGGAGGCAGCAGUGGGGAAUUUUGGACAAUGGGCGCAAGCCUGAUCCAGCCAUGCCGCGUGUCUGAAGAAGGCCUUCGGGUUGUAAAGGACUUUUGUCAGGGAGGAAAUCCCUAGCGCUAAUAUCGCUGGGGGAUGACAGUACCUGAAGAAUAAGCACCGGCUAACUACGUGCCAGCAGCCGCGGUAAUACGUAGGGUGCAAGCGUUAAUCGGAAUUACUGGGCGUAAAGCGUGCGCAGGCGGUUGUGUAAGUCUGAUGUGAAAGCCCCGGGCUUAACCUGGGAACUGCAUUGGAGACUGCACGGCUAGAGUGCGUCAGAGGGGGGUAGAAUUCCGCGUGUAGCAGUGAAAUGCGUAGAGAUGCGGAGGAAUACCGAUGGCGAAGGCAGCCCCCUGGGAUGACACUGACGCUCAUGCACGAAAGCGUGGGGAGCAAACAGGAUUAGAUACCCUGGUAGUCCACGCCCUAAACGAUGUCAACUAGCUGUUGGGGGUUUGAAUCCUUGGUAGCGUAGCUAACGCGAGAAGU
rnacentral:rRNA from 1 species